GAGCACUCUAGACGAACUGCCGUUGACAAAACGGAGGAAGGUGGGGAUGACGUCAAAUCAUCAUGCCCCUUAUGUUCUGGGCUACACACGUGCUACAAUGGCCGGUACAGACGGACGCAAAGCCGCGAGGUGGAGCAAAUCCUAAAAAGCCGGUCUCAGUUCGGAUUGCAGGCUGCAAUUCGCCUGCAUGAAGUCGGAAUCGCUAGUAAUCGCAGGUCAGCAUACUGCGGUGAAUACGUUCCCGGGCCUU
rnacentral:rRNA from 1 species